rnacentral:misc_RNA from 1 species
GAAAAAGCUCAGUAAUUAGCAGCAAUGGCGAAAUUCAUUUUCAUAGCAGUUUUCAUGGUGGUGUUAAUUGCAAAUUUUGCGAGUAGUGAAGUAGCUGCAAGUAGUGUUGUUGUUGUUGGGUCUAGUAACCCUAAGGAGGAAGGCAAUAAAUUAGCUAUGGUUCAAGAAGAGGAGGAUAUGGAUGGUGGGUUUUCUUCUUUAGAUGGAAUGUUACAAUGGGCUAUAGGGCAUUCGGAUCCUGGAGUACUAAAAGAAAGAUCAGAAGUCGCUCAACGCAUGUCUCCGGAGGAACUAAACAAACGCCAAACUGAAUUGAAGGAACUGAUGGAGAAGCUGAAAAUUCCCUCAGAUGCGCAGUUGAUGCUGAUUGCAGUUAAUGAUUUAAAUAAUUCAUCCCUACCUCUGGAGCAUCAUCUCCGUGCCUUAGAGGAGCUGUUGGUACUUGUUGAGC